CAUCAUGGGAAUCCCCCGGCAGCCUACGUCUAUUGCAGCAUAACUAAGGGAGGAUUCAGGGUCACCUGGUCCAGCCCUAACUAUAUGCUUUAGCAAAAAGGAAAGUUUGAAGCCUAAUCUUGGGUUAUUAUAACGGUCUUUUUACUUGUCUCAACAAAUCAGCUGUGGAACGCCUUCAGACUGCACAGACUUUUAACUGGCACAAACAAGAGGUCACACAUUACUCCAGUUUUGACUUCUCUUCAUUGGUUGCCAGGAAAUUUUAGAGUUCAUUUUAAAACUUUUGUCGUAACUUUUUGAGCUCUGCAUGCUGAAGCUGCCCAGCGUAUCUCUGAGCUGCUGAAGCCUCAUGCUUCAUCCCGAGCACUCGGGUCUUCAGGUCAGAGGUCACUGUUGGUCCCACGCACUGGGUUCAAACCCUGUGUGGGGAUCGGGCACCGAGGGAAAGGAGGUGUUCCUGUGGUACAAGAAAGACAGCGGCAGCGCU
ensembl:lncRNA